GCCUCGUUAGCGUAGUUGGAUUAUCGCAUCUGUUUAAUAAACAGAAGGUCACUGGUUCGAGCCCAGUACGGGGCA
rnacentral:tRNA from 1 species